CCGGUGUGAGUAGCGAAAGACGGGUGAGAAUCCCGUCCACCGAUUGACUAAGGUUUCCAGAGGAAGGCUCGUCCGCUCUGGGUUAGUCGGGUCCUAAGCUGAGGCCGACAGGCGUAGGCGAUGGAUAACAGGUUGAUAUUCCUGUACCACCUAUAAUCGUUUUAAUCGAUGGGGGGACGCAGUAGGAUAGGCGAAGCGUGCGAUUGGAUUGCACGUCUAAGCAGUAAGGCUGAGUAUUAGGCAAAUCCGGUACUCAUUAAGGCUGAGCUGUGAUGGGGAGAAGACAUUGUGUCUUCGAGUCGUUGAUUUCACACUGCCGAGAAAAGCCUCUAGAUAGAAAAUAGGUGCCCGUACCGCAAACCGACACAGGUAGUCAAGAUGAGAAUUCUAAGGUGAGCGAGCGAACUCUCGUUAAGGAACUCGGCAAAAUGACCCCGUAACUUCGGGAGAAGGGGUGCUCUUUAGGGUUAACGCCCAGAAGAGCCGCAGUGAAUAGGCCCAAGCGACUGUUUAUCAAAAACACAGGUCUCUGCUAAACCGUAAGGUGAUGUAUAGGGGCUGACGCCUGCCCGG
rnacentral:rRNA from 1 species